AUUGAACGCUGGCGGAAUGCUUUACACAUGCAAGUCGAGCGGCAGCACGGGGGCAACCCUGGUGGCGAGCGGCGAACGGGUGAGUAAUACAUCGGAACAUGCCCAGUCGUGGGGGAUAACACUUCGAAAGAAGUGCUAAUACCGCAUACGUCCUGAGGGAAAAAGCGGGGGAUCUUCGGACCUCGCGCGAUUGGAGUGGCCGAUGUCAGAUUAGCUAGUUGGGGGGGUAAAGGCCUACCAAGGCAACGAUCUGUAGCUGGUCUGAGAGGAUGAUCAGCCACACUGGGACUGAGACACGGCCCAGACUCCUACGGGAGGCAGCAGUGGGGAAUUUUGGACAAUGGGGGCAACCCUGAUCCAGCCAUUCCGCGUGAGUGAAGAAGGCCUUCGGGUUGUAAAGCUCUUUCGGCAGGAACGAAACGGCGAGCUCUAACAUAGCUUGCUAAUGACGGUACCUGAAGAAGAAGCACCGGCUAACUACGUGCCAGCAGCCGCCGUAACAC
rnacentral:rRNA from 1 species